ensembl:Y_RNA Y_RNA Y RNA
GCCUAGUCCGAAGGUAGUGAGUUAUCUCAAUUGAUUGUUCAUGGAUCGAACUCCUUGUUCUACUCUUUCCCCCCUUCUCACUACUACACUUGACUAGUUUUUU